rnacentral:lncRNA from 1 species
UCCACAAACACGUGAAAGGAAUCACCAAUUCACUGCUCUGCAUAUAGUUCCGACCGAUAAAUUAACCCCAUCUUCUUGCAAAUGGUUAGAUAUUCACAUUUUUGAACUUUUGUGGGAGCAGGUAAAUGCUAGUGUUACCAAACCAAUUAACGAACCGGUUGCAGUGUAAGCUUUCCAACAUUGAUUAUUAAGAUUUUGAAGAAAUUUGCUUCUAGGAAGAGAUUUCGGAUUGCAGAACCUUGAGUGAGAAAACUCCAUCCUCAAAUUCCCAGCCCUCACCAAAUGAGGAAAAAGACUAUUGAGCGAACUAUCUAGUCUAUCAAGUGUAGCUAGAGUGGCAUUAUUAAAGACCUUUCUUCAAGUUCCAGCAAAGGGAUUCCGAUUGCUGUUCAUUUGGGUACUUG